rnacentral:rRNA from 1 species
CCUACGGGCGGCAGCAGUUAGGAAUAUUUGGCAAUGGGCGAAAGUCUGACCCAGCAACGCCGCGUGCAGGAAGAAGGCCUUCGGGUUGUAAACUUCUGAUCUGUGGGAAGAAAAAAAUGACGGUAUCACAGGAGAAAACCACGGAUAACUUCGUGCCAGCAGCCGCGGUAAUCCGUAGGCGGCGAGCGUUGUGGGGAAUAACUGGGUGUAAGUUGAGCUUAGGUGGUUAAUUAAUUUGGGUGUGAACUCCCAGGGCUCAACUUUGGAAUUGGAAUUAAAACUGUUUAGCUAGAGUGCAGGAGGGGUAAACGGAAUUUCUAGUGUAGGGGUGAAAUGCGUAGAUAUUAGGAAGAACACC